AAUGCCCUGCUUCCAGGAAAAGCCUCUAAGCAUCAGGUAACACGAAAUCGUACCCCAAACCGACACAGGUGGUCAGGUAGAGAAUACCAAGGCGCUUGAGAGAACUCGGGUGAAGGAACUAGGCAAAAUGGUGCCGUAACUUCGGGAGAAGGCACGCUGAUAUGUAGGUGAAGUGAUUUACUCAUGGAGCUGAAAUCAGUCGAAGAUACCAGCUGGCUGCAACUGUUUAUUAAAAACACAGCACUGUGCAAACACGAAAGUGGACGUAUACGGUGUGACGCCUGCCCGGUGCCGGAAGGUUAAUUGAUGGGGUUAUCCCUCGGGAGAAGCUCUUGAUCGAAGCCCCGGUAAACGGCGGCCGUAACUAUAACGGUCCUAAGGUAGCGAAAUUCCUUGUCGGGUAAGUUCCGACCUGCACGAAUGGCGUAAUGAUGGCCAGGCUGUCUCCACCCGAGACUCAGUGAAAUUGAACUCGCUGUGAAGAUGCAGUGUACCCGCGGCAAGACGGAAAGACCCCGUGAACCUUUACUAUAGCUUGACACUGAACACUGGUCCUUGAUGUGUAGGAUAGGUGGGAGGCUUUGAAGUGCGGACGCCAGUCUGCAUGGAGCCGCCCUUGAAAUACCACCCUUUAAUGGCUGGUGUUCUAACGUGGGCCCGUAAUCCGGGUUGCGGACAGUGUCUGGUGGGUAGUUUGACUGGGGCGGUCUCCUCCUAAAGAGUAACGGAGGAGCACGAAGGUCAGCUAAUCCUGGUCGGACAUCAGGAGGUUAGUGCAAUGGCAUAAGCUGGCUUGACUGCGAGCGUGACGGCGCGAGCAGGUGCGAAAGCAGGUCAUAGUGAUCCGGUGGUUCUGAAUGGAAGGGCCAUCGCUCAACGGAUAAAAGGUACUCCGGGGAUAACAGGCUGAUACCGCCCAAGAGUUCAUAUCGACGGCGGUGUUUGGCACCUCGAUGUCGGCUCAUCACAUCCUGGGGCUGAAGUAGGUCCCAAGGGUAUGGCUGUUCGCCAUUUAAAGUGGUACGCGAGCUGGGUUUAGAACGUCGUGAGACAGUUCGGUCCCUAUCUGCCGUGGGCGCUGGAGAACUGAGGGGGGCUGCUCCUAGUACGAGAGGACCGGAGUGGACGCAUCACUGGUGUUCGGGUUGUCAUGCCAAUGGCACUGCCCGGUAGCUAAAUGCGGAAGAGAUAAGUGCUGAAAGCAUCUAAGCACGAAACUUGCCCCGAGAUGAGUUCUCCCUGACUCCUUGAGAGUCCUGAAGGAACGUUGAAGACGACGACGUUGAUAGGCCGGGUGUGUAAGCGCAGCGAUGCGUUGAGCUAACCGGUACUAAUGAACCGUGAGGCUUAACCUU
rnacentral:rRNA from 1 species